UAGGGAAUCUUCCACAAUGGGCGCAAGCCUGAUGGAGCAACACCGCGUGAGUGAAGAAGGGUUUCGGCUCGUAAAGCUCUGUUGUUAGAGAAGAAUGUGCGUGAGAGCAACUGUUCACGCAGUGACGGUAUCUAACCAGAAAGUCACGGCUAACUACGUGCCAGCAGCCGCGGUAAUACGUAGGUGGCAAGCGUUAUCCGGAUUUAUUGGGCGUAAAGCGAGCGCAGGCGGUUUGAUAAGUCUGAUGUGAAAGCCUUUGGCUUAACCAAAGAAGUGCAUCGGAAACUGUCAGACUUGAGUGCAGAAGAGGACAGUGGAACUCCAUGUGUAGCGGUGGAAUGCGUAGAUAUAUGGAAGAACACCAGUGGCGAAGGCGGCUGUCUGGUCUGCAACUGACGCUGAGGCUCGAAAGCAUGGGUAGCGAACAGGAUUAGAUACCCUGGUAGUCCAUGCCGUAAACGAUGAGUGCUAGGUGUUGGAGGGUUUCCGCCCUUCAGUGCCGCAGCUAACGCAUUAAGCACUCCGCCUGGGGAGUACGACCGCAAGGUUG
rnacentral:rRNA from 1 species